GCUCAAUGAUUUUUUAAUAGCCGCAGAACUCUGUGCUAAGGUAGCAUAAUCAUUUGCCUUAUAAUUUAAGGCUUGUACGAAAGAUUUAACAUCUUAAUUUCUUUUUUAAAAUUAUUUAUUUAACUUAUCUUAAAUAUAAUAAGAUAUUUAUCCAAAAGAAAGACGACAAGACCCUACUGAACUUUACUUUAGUUUAGCUGGGGCAGCUAAUUAAUAAUAAUUUUAAUUUAACCUCUUUUAUAAAUUGACCCAUUAAAAAUGAUCUUUGAUCAAGUUACCAUAGGGAUAACAGCAUAAUAUUUUAUUUAAGCUCUUAUUCAAUAAAAAGUUUAUGACCUCGAUGUUGAAUUAAUAUUCUUUUUAGCGCAAUAGCUAAAAUAGAAAGUCUGUUCGACUUUUAAAUAAUUACAUGAUUUGAGUUCAAACCGGCGUAAGCCAGGUUGGUUUCUAUCUUCUUAAUUUUAUUCUCAGUACGAAAGGACCAGAAAAUAUUUUUAUAAAACUUAUUGACAGAAUAUUGUAUUAGAUUUAGAAUCUAAAUAAACUAACAAUAACUUUAAUAAAUUCUUUC
rnacentral:misc_RNA from 1 species